GUGGGGGGGAGGGGGUGGAUUUGAGGCAAGCAGUGCAGCCUUUCUUCCUGAUCGUCUCUGUUUACUGUUUAAUCCUGUUUCCCUUUUACUUUGUUUUGGCAAAGUUCCCACUGCUUAAACAGUGAACUGCAGGACUGGUGGAUACUCUGAGGUCCCUCCAGGCUUCAAAGUGCAGCACUGACACUGAGAAGCCGCAAAGGUCAGCAAAGCCAGUGUACGCAGAUCACACAGAUCACAUCCCGCCUCUUCAAAAUGAAAGCAAAAGCCAUGAAGUGCGCUGCGUGGGAAUGACAAGGGAAGGGGGGGCGAUGGGAAGAUGUUCAUCUAAGGAUUUUCGUGAUUGUUAUUUCCCUGCAUGAAGAGCAGUAACGGCUGCACAAUCUCACAGCCCUCCAGAAGAUACUUAAAGGCCACUAUCAGGUCUUCCUGAAGUCUUCUUUUCUCCAGGCUGAACAGCCCCAGCUCUCUCAGCCUGUCCUCAUAGGAGAGGUGUUCCAUCCCUGGGAUCAUUUUUGUGGACACACUCCAACAGAUGAACAAGUGAAGAGCAAAUGAAAAACUGCAUGCAGAAUUCUUAUUGCACAAGAGAAUUCAAUAUAAACCAUCUGGCAAGUAAAACAGCACCCUUUGGAAAAGAACAGCACAUCUCCUUGAGCUGCUGCUAAUCUAACAAAAGUGAAAGGAUAGGAAUAGAACCUGGAAUUAAUGCCAUUGCUCUCACAUCUAUUUGAGAACAACACAGCAGGUUUAAUUAACUAUAUGGCUGAAAGAAGUUACCAGUUCUUAAAUGUUUUCUAAUAUUUUCACUGUUGGUAUAAAACUAGUGGUUACUAUUGUAUUGCUAAGUGAAGAGUUCACAGAAUCACAGAAUCAUAGAAUGGCCUGGGUUGAAAAGGACCUCAAAGAUCAUUGAGUUUCAAUCCCCUGCUAUGUGCAGGGUUGCCAACCACCAGACCAGGCUGCCCGAGCCUCAUCCAGCCUGGCCUUGAAUGCCUCCAGGGAUGGGGCAUCCACAACCUCCUUGGGCAACCUGUUCCAGUGCAUCACCACCCUCUGUAUGAAAAACUUCCUCCUAAUAUCUAACCCAAACCUCCCCUGCCUCUGUUUAAAACCAUUCCCUCUGGUCCUAUCACUACCCACCUAUGUAAACAGUCAUUCCCCCUCCUGUUAAUAAGCUCCCCUUAAAGUACUGGAAGGUCACAACGAGAUCCCCUGGAGCUUACUCUUCUCCAAGCUAAACAAGCCUGGUUCCCUCAACCUUUCUUCACAGGAGAGGUGCUCCAGCCCUCUGAUCAUCCUAGUGGCCCUCCUCUGGACAUGUUCCAAGAGCUCUGAAUCUUUUUUGUGCUGGGGGCCCCAGGCCUGGAUGCAGUAUUCCCAAGGGACCUCACAAGAGCCGAGUACAGGGAGACGAUCACCUCCCUCUCCCUCCUGGCCACCUUUUUUAAUGCAGAGACUGCAAAAAGUUAUAGCAGAGGUAAGGUUUAUUGUGCAACCUACUUCAAUGGAGCAAACCAAUUAAUAUAACCAAUUCAAUAUAACCUUGAAUCACCUGCUGGAAUGUUUUUAUCCUCAGUAAGGUUUGUUUUAUAUUCUUAUAUCAGGCACAGUGUUUCAACUGUUUAUGAAGUUGAACUUCCUUUAAUGCUGUUUAAAUACUGCAACUGAAUAAUUUCAUUAAGAAACAUAUUAACCUUUCAGAUUAUGAAAGCAAUAAAGAACCAAGAUUAAAAUUGGCACUUGGCACCUAUGAUUGAAAAGUAAAUGAAACAGAUAUGCACAAAUGUU